CGGGUGAGGAAUACAUGGGUGACCUACCCUCGAGUGGGGAAUAACUAGCCGAAAGGUUAGCUAAUACCGCAUACGAUUCCCGGAUUACGGUCCGGGAAGGAAAGCGAUACCGUGGGUAUCGCGCUCCUGGAUGGGCUCAUGUCCUAUCAGCAUGUUGGUGAGGUAACGGCUCACCAAGGCUUCGACGGGUAGCUGGUCUGAGAGGACGAUCAGCCACACUGGCACUGCGACACGGGCCAGACUCCUACGGGAGGCAGCAGUAAGGAAUAUUGCGCAAUGGGCGAAAGCCUGACGCAGCGACGCCGCGUGGGGGAUGAAGGUCUUCGGAUUGUAAACCCCUUUCGGGAGGGAAGAUGGAACGAGCAAUCGUUCGGACGGUACCUCCAGAAGCAGCCACGGCUAACUUCGUGCCAGCAGCCGCGGUAAUACGAAGGUGGCAAGCGUUGUUCGGAUUCACUGGGCGUACAGGGAGCGUAGGCGGUUGGGUAAGCCCUCCGUGAAAUCUCCGGGCCUAACCCGGAAAGUGCAGAGGG
rnacentral:rRNA from 1 species